rnacentral:rRNA from 1 species
CCUACGGGGGGCAGCAGUGAGGAAUAUUGGUCAAUGGACGAGAGCCUGAACCAGCCAAGUCGCGUGAAGGAUGACUGCCCUAUGGGUUGUAAACUUCUUUUAUAUGGGAGUAAAAUGUUCCACGUGUGGGGUUUCGUAUGUACCAUAUGAAUAAGGAUCGGCUAACUCCGUGCCAGCAGCCGCGGUAAUACGGAGGAUCCGAGCGUUAUCCGGAUUUAUUGGGUUUAAAGGGAGGGUAGGGGGGUUGUUAAGUCAGUGGUGAAAGUUUGCGGCUCAACCGUAGAAUUGCAGUUGAAACUGGCAGUCUUGAGUACAGUAGAGGUGGGCGGAAUGCGUGGUGUAGCGGUGAAAUGCUUAGAUAUCACGAAGAACUCCGAUUGCGAAGGCAGCUGACUGGACUGCAACUGACGCUGAGGCUCGAAAGUGUGGGUAUCAAACAGGAUUAGAUACCCUAGUAGUC